UGGGGAAUAUUGCACAAUGGGCGAAAGCCUGAUGCAGCAACGCCGCGUGAGGGAAGACGGUCUUCGGAUUGUAAACCUUUGUCCUUGGUGACGAAAAGAAUGACGGUAGCCGAGGAGGAAGCCACGGCUAACUACGUGCCAGCAGCCGCGGUAAUACGUAGGUGGCAAGCGUUGUCCGGAAUUACUGGGUGUAAAGGGAGCGCAGGCGGGGGAGCAAGUCAGCUGUGAAAUAUACGGGCUUAACUCGUAGACUGCAGUUGAAACUGUUCUUCUUGAGUGAAGUAGAGGUAGGCGGAAUUCCGAGUGUAGCGGUGAAAUGCGUAGAGAUUCGGAGGAACACCAGUGGCGAAGGCGGCCUACUGGGCUUUAACUGACGCUGAGGCUCGAAAGUGUGGGGAGCAAACAGGAUUAGAUACCCUGGUAGU
rnacentral:rRNA from 1 species